GUCUUAGUUGCACGUUG
rnacentral:sRNA from 1 species